UAUGCUUUGAAGAUGUUCUCAAGGAUUUCAACGAGCAUUAGAUUGCUCUCCCUCCUUUCACUAAGCCACCUCUCUAUAUAUAGGGGGGUGUUACUAUCUCUUAACUAUGAAAAUGGCAUAGGCCACAAUAAAAUAAUCACAUAGUUACCUAUAUA